GAUGAACGCUGGCGGCGUGCCUAAUACAUGCAAGUCGAGCGAAGCGGGGACGGGGGAGAACACGUGGAUAACAUCCUAUAAGACUGGGAUAACAUCGGGAAAACGGAGCUAAAUCGGACACUUAUAGAUGGAUAGGCGCUGCAUUAGCUAGUGGGUAAGGUAACGGCUUACCAAGGCAACGAUGCAUAGCCGACCUGAGAGGGUGAUCGGCCACACUGGAACUGAGACACGGUCCAGACUCCUACGGGAGGCAGCAGUAGGGAAUCUUCCGCAAUGGGCGAAAGCCUGACGGAGCAACGCCGCGUGAGUGAUGAAGGUCUUCGGAUCGUAAAGCUCUGUUAUUAGGGAUGCGUUACCUAAACAGAAAGCCCCGGCUAACUACGUGCCAGCCGCCGCGGUAAUUC
rnacentral:rRNA from 1 species